rnacentral:rRNA from 1 species
UUCGUAUGAUACGCGAGGAACCUUACCCGGGCUUGAAUUGCAGAGGAACAUAGUUGAAAGAUUAUGGCCGCAAGGUCUCUGUGAAGGUGCUGCAUGGUUGUCGUCAGCUCGUGCCGUGAGGUGUCGGCUUAAGUGCCAUAACGAGCGCAACCCUUAUCAUUAGUUACUAACAGGUCAUGCUGAGGACUCUAGUGAGACUGCCGUCGUAAGAUGUGAGGAAGGUGGGGAUGACGUCAAAUCAGCACGGCCCUUACGUCCGGGGCUACACACGUGUUACAAUGGGGGGUACAGAGGGCAGCUACCGGGCGACCGGAUGCCAAUCCCAAAAACCUCUCUCAGUUCGGAUCGAAGUCUGCAACCCGACUUCGUGAAGCUGGAUUCGCUAGUAAUCGCGCAUCAGCCACGGCGCGGUGAAUACGUUCCCGGGCCUC